rnacentral:rRNA from 1 species
GAGUUUGAUCGUGGCUCAGGAUGAACGCUAGCGGCAGGCCUAACACAUGCAAGUCGAGGGGUAGAACACUUCGGUGCUUGAGACCGGCGCACGGGUGCGUAACGCGUAUGCAAUCUGCCUUGUACUAAGGGAUAGCCCAGAGAAAUUUGGAUUAAUACCUUAUAGUAUAUAGAUGUGGCAUCACAUUUAUAUUAAAGAUUUAUCGGUACAAGAUGAGCAUGCGUCCCAUUAGCUAGUUGGUAUGGUAACGGCAUACCAAGGCAAUGAUGGGUAGGGGUCCUGAGAGGGAGAUCCCCCACACUGGUACUGAGACACGGACCAGACUCCUACGGGAGGCAGCAGUGAGGAAUAUUGGUCAAUGGGCGCAAGCCUGAACCAGCCAUGCCGCGUGCAGGAUGAAGCAUCUAUGGUGUGUAAACUGCUUUUGUACGGGAAGAAACAGCUCUUCGUGAAGAGCCUUGACGGUACCGUAAGAAUAAGGAUCGGCUAACUCCGU